CCCGCCUGGGGAGUACGCCCCGCAAGGUUAAAACUAAAAAAGAAUUGGGGGGGGGCCCCCACAAGCAGUGGAUGAUGUGUUUUAAUUAGAUGCAACGAGAAGAACCUCCCCUCCCUUCGACAUCCAGAGAACUUAGCAGAGAUGGUUUGGUGCUUUAGGGAAAUAACACACACCCCCAGCAGGUGUGUGGAAAAAACAUGUUGGGAAAGGAAGGAAAAAAGUCCCCGCACCGGGCGCACCCCCUUUCCCUUUUUUUCCCUCCGUUCGGCGGGGCACUCUAAGGAGACUGCCCGGGGGAAAAACCCGGAGGAAGGUGGGGGAUGACGUCAAGUCCUCAUGGCCCUUUAUGGGGGGGGCUACACACGUCAUACAAUGGUCGGUACAGAGGGUUGCCAACCCGCGAGGGGGACCCAAUCCCAAAAACCCAGUCGUAGUCCGGAUCGCAGUCUGCAACUCGACUCCGUGAAGUCGGAAUCGCUAGUAAUCGUGGAUCAGAAUGCCACGGUGAAUACGUUCCCGGGUCUUUUUUACGCGCCCCCCGUCCCCCCAUGGAACUGGUCUGCACCCCCCCUUUUUACCUUAACCUUAAGGAGGGCGCUUACCACGGUGUGAUCAUGACAUGGGGGGAAGUGAACCCCAGGACCCUCCCA
rnacentral:rRNA from 1 species